rnacentral:rRNA from 1 species
UACGAAGGGGGCUAGCGUUGCUCGGAAUCACUGGGCGUAAAGGGUGCGUAGGCGGGUCUUUAAGUCAGGGGUGAAAUCCUGGAGCUCAACUCCAGAACUGCCUUUGAUACUGAAGAUCUUGAGUUCGGGAGAGGUGAGUGGAACUGCGAGUGUAGAGGUGAAAUUCGUAGAUAUUCGCAAGAACACCCGUGGCGAAGGCGGCUCUCUGGGCCGGUACUGACGCUGAGGAGCGAAAGCGUGGGGAGCAAACAGGG